UCUGGUUGAUCCCGGCGGAGGUUACUGCUAUCGAGGUUCGACUAAGCCAUGCGAGUCGAAUGUAGCAAUACAUGGCGUACUGCUCAGUAACACGUGGACAACCUACCCUUAGGUCGGGGAUAAACCCGGGAAACUGGGUAUAAUACCCGAUAGAUCUCGGCUGCUGGAAUGCAUCGAGAUCGAAAGCUCCGGCGCCUAAGGAUGGGUCUGCGGCCUAUCAGGUAGUAGUGGGUGUAGCGUACCUGCUAGCCUACGACGGGUACGGGUUGUGAGAGCAAGAGCCCGGAGAUGGAUUCUGAGACACGAAUCCAGGCCCUACGGGGUGCAGCAGGCGCGAAAACUUUACAAUGCUGGAAACAGCGAUAAGGGGACCUCGAGUGCCAGGUUACAAAUCUGGCUGUCGUGAUGCCUAAAAAGCAUUGCAUAGCAAGGGCCGGGCAAGACCGGUGCCAGCCGCCGCGGUAACACCGGCGGCUCGAGUGGUAACCGUUAUUAUUGGGUCUAAAGGGUCUGUAGCCGGCCGGAUAAGUCUCUUGGGAAAUCCAGCAGCUCAACUGUUGGGCUUUCAGGAGAUACUGUCUGGCUCGAGGCCGGGAGAGGUGAGAGGUACUUCAGGGGUAGGGGUGAAAUCUUGUAAUCCUUGAAGGACCACCAGUGGCGAAGGCGUCUCACCAGAACGGACCUGACGGCAAGGGACGAAAGCUAGGGGCACGAACCGGAUUAGAUACCCGGGUAGUCCUAGCCGUAAACGAUACUCGCUAGGUGUCGGCCACGGUGCGACCGUUGUCGGUGCCGUAGGGAAGCCGUGAAGCGAGCCACCUGGGAAGUACGGCCGCAAGGCUGAAACUUAAAGGAAUUGGCGGGGGAGCACCACAACGGGUGGAGCUUGCGGUUUAAUUGGAUUCAACGCCGGAAAUCUUACCGGGACCGACAGCAAUAUGAAGGCCAGGCUGAAGACUUUGCCGGAUUAGCUGAGAGGUGGUGCAUGGCCGUCGUCAGUUCGUACUGUGAAGCAUCCUGUUAAGUCAGGCAACGAGCGAGACCCA
rnacentral:rRNA from 1 species